rnacentral:rRNA from 1 species
UACGUAGGGUGCAAGCGUUGUCCGGAAUUAUUGGGCGUAAAGAGCUCGUAGGUGGUUUGUUACGUCUGCUGUGAAAAUCCUAGGGCUUAACCCUGGGCUUGCAGUGGAUACGGGCAGACUAGAGGUAGGUAGGGGAGAAUGGAAUUCCUGGUGUAGCGGUGAAAAUGCGCAGAUAUCAGGAGGAAACACCGAUGGCGAAGGCAGAUCUCUGGGCCUAACUGACGCUGAGGAGCGAAAAGCGUGGGGGGAGCAA